GGAGCGCGCCAAAUUUCUCCCGUGAAGCAGAGGCUGUAGCCAGCGGCUCCAUGGCUCUGAGGAGCGGCGCGCGGAGGCGCGCGGACCCAGGCGCGGAUGGCGAGGCCAGCAGGGAUGAUGGUGCCACUUCCUCAGUCUCGGCACUCAAGCGCCUGGAACGGAGUCAGUGGACGGAUAAGAUGGAUUUGCGGUUUGGUUUUGAGCGGCUGAAGGAGCCUGGUGAGAAGACAGGCUGGCUCAUUAACAUGCAUCCUGUAAGCACUAAGUCCUUCUCCCACCCAGGAGUAUGGUUACAACCCUUCUUGUCAUAGCGUGGUCCGUGUCUAAAGAGUGGGGGACCCAUGAGGGAACUUUGAGUGAAUCA
rnacentral:sRNA from 1 species